CAAGAGCAAGAAGUCAAAGCAGUGCUCUCCACCUGAAUGACUGAGAGCAAUUAACCAGUCUUUAAUGGUGGACAAGAAGCACCUGGUCAGUGGGCUGGGACCUUCUUGGGGGCUCAGGUGUAGGCAGCUCAUGGUUAGCUCAUGGUUAAAGGAAGAACUGUGCACCUCCUGCUAGCUCCUGGUACUUCCUAGUGCUGAUGUUAGUGCUACAGUGCUGUUUUAGAAGACUGUCGCUUACGGGAAGGAUCUGACAAAGUUAGAUGAGUCCAAAGUUCUCAGGGCUUCAUUUUCCUGCAUGUGGGCUCCAUCCAAAAGUGCACAGGAAAGUGGCAUUUGAGAUUGAAGGAAGGAAAAAAGGCCUUUUCCCUGAGUCAUGCCUGAUCUGGAACCUACAAGGCUCUCACCUGCUCCUCUCCAGCUUCUCAACACUGUGCUAAGGGGAACUGAACAGCAGAACUCCUCUUGUCCUAACGCAUCAUCCCAUUGCACAAACCGCUAUGAGUGACAGAAAGCAAUUUGUUUAAUUGCACUGCAUUUUUAAUAUAGAUCCACAACAGAACUGUGUGCAAUACAUUAAUUUGUUUUCUAC
ensembl:lncRNA